GUUAAAGCAGGAUACUGAUAGACUCCUUAUUACACACAGUGUACACAGUGUUAAAGCAGCAGGAUACGGAUAGACCCCUUAUUACACACAGUGUACACAGGGUUAAUGCAGGAUACUGAUCGACUCCUUAUUAUACACAGUGUACACUGGGUUAAAGCAGCAGGAUACUGAUAGACUCCUUAUUACACACAGUGUACACAGGGUUAAUGCAGGAUACUGAUAGACUCCUUAUUACACACAGGGUUAAUGCAGCAGGACACUGAUAGACUCCUUAUUACACACAGUGUGCACAGUGUUAAAGCAGCAGGAUACUGAGAGACUCCUUAUUACACACAGUGUACACAGGGUUAAAGCAGCAGGAUACUGAUAGACUCCUUAUUACACACAGGGUUAAAGCAGCAGGAUACUGAUCGACUCCUUAUUACACACAGUGUACACAGGAUUAAAGCAGCAGGAUACUGAUAGACUCCUUAUUACACACAGUGUGCACAGUGUUAAAGCGGCAGGAUACUGAUAGAUUCCUUAUUACACACAGUGUACACAGGGUUAAAGCAGCAGGAUACUGAUAGACUCCUUAUUACGCACAGUGUACACAGGGUUAAAGCGGCAGGAUACUGAUAGACUCCUUAUUACACACAGUGUGCACAGUGUUAAAGCGGCAGGAUACUGAUAGAUUCCUUAUUACACACAGUGUACACAGGGUUAAUGCAGGAUACUGAUAGACUCCUUAUUACACACAGUGUGCACAGGGUUAAAGCAGCAGGAUACUGAUAGACUCCUUAUUACACACAGUGUACACAGGGUUAAAGCAGC